CGAAUGUCGGCCAAUCUUCUUGA
rnacentral:siRNA from 1 species